rnacentral:lncRNA from 1 species
UACUUCUUUAUAGUAUAUGUGUGAAUAACUUUGAUUUAAAAAUUAGCUCUUUCCCAUCUUGCAGGAUGGCCAGUGAGAAAUCUGAGAAGCUGGAUACUAAGGAAAGAGAAACUUGAAGCCAAGAAGACUGAUGCUGGUGGCAAGAAUGGUUUAAGAGCUUCUUGCUCUGGACAAGUCAUCAUUCUUCUGAGAAGUCUUCCAUAUAAGUGUAAAAAUUUAAUAAAAUUGAUAUGCUCUUCUUCUCCUAA